CGGUCAUCGGAGGGCAGGCCGUGAGGGCCUCCGAGGCGCCCUGGGUGGUGGCGCUGGGCAGCCGGCAGCGGUUCGGGGCCGCCAGGGCCGG
rnacentral:tRNA from 1 species